rnacentral:rRNA from 1 species
UACGUAGGGUGCAAGCGUUAAUCGGAAUUACUGGGCGUAAAGCGUGCGCAGGCGGUUGUGCAAGUCAGAUGUGAAAUCCCCGGGCUUAACCUGGGAACUGCAUUUGAGACUGCACAGCUAGAGUGUGUCAGAGGGGGGUAGAAUUCCACGUGUAGCAGUGAAAUGCGUAGAUAUGUGGAGGAAUACCGAUGGCGAAGGCAGCCCCCUGGGAUAACACUGACGCUCAUGCACGAAAGCGUGGGGAGCAAACAGG